GUUGUAUUGGUGAAAAGAUUUCAUCCGAGGAAAUGCAGGAUCAAGGAGGCAAGCAUUCCUUGAAAGAGCAAAGAAAGCUACAAGAAGAGCAAUAUAAGCUGAAAGUUUUGAACAACAUCUUGUUGCAGGUGCUAACCUCGUCUGGAAUUAACUGGGCACAAAACGAACACGUCACUAAGCUACUUGACGAGAUUUCACAAUUCGUGUAGACAUUUUCAUGUUGUCAAAGUGUAUAGCGCUUUUACUGAAAGAAGACAAGUGGCCAGAUGUUCAUACUUCGUCAGAUUUUAAAAUUUUAUAUUGUCAUGAAUAAAGUUUUACCGAGAUUGCUUA
rnacentral:lncRNA from 1 species